rnacentral:rRNA from 1 species
AGAACGAACGCUGGCGGCAGGCUUAACACAUGCAAGUCGAACGCUCGUAGCAAUACGGGAGUGGCAGACGGGUGAGUAACGCGUGGGAACAUACCCUCCGGUUCGGAAUAGCUCAGGGAAACUUGGAUUAAUACCGGAUACGGCUGAGAGGCGAAAGAUUUAUCGCCGGAGGAUUGGCCCGCGUUCGAUUAGCUUGUUGGUGAGGUAACGGCUCACCAAGGCGAUGAUCGAUAGCUGGUCUGAGAGGAUGAUCAGCCACAUUGGGACUGAGACACGGCCCAAACUCCUACGGGAGGCAGCAGUGGGGAAUAUUGGACAAUGGGCGCAAGCCUGAUCCAGCCAUGCCGCGUGAGUGAUGACGGCCUUAGGGUUGUAAAGCUCUUUCGCUCGGGACGAUAAUGACGGUACCGAGAUAAGAGCCCGGCUAACUCGUGCCAGCAGCCGC